UACGUAGGGGGCAAGCGUUAUCCGGAUUUACUGGGUGUAAAGGGAGCGUAGACGGCGAAUAAAGUCUGAAGUGAAAUCCCGCAGCUCAACUGCGGAGUUGCUUUGGAAACUUAUAAGCUGGAGUGUCGGAGGGGUAAGCGGAAUUCCCAGUGUAGCGGUGAAAUGCGUAGAUAUUGGGAGGAACACCGGAGGCGAAGGCGGCUUACUGGAAGAUAACUGACGUUGAGGCUCGAAGGCGUGGGUAGCAAAC
rnacentral:rRNA from 1 species